rnacentral:lncRNA from 1 species
AGUGUGUUGUUUAUGGCCACGGUGUACCGGAAACUGGUGCCAUCUUUUAGGCGUCAGCUGCCUACAAGACGUGAAAUACGAAAUAUUUCUAUCUUUUCUUACCUCCCAGUUCUCUCUCUACCGAACACCCUGGCAAUCACUGAUCUCAAUUCAACUUGUUUAGUUUUGCUCCACUGUACUUUUAUAAUUAGAAAACACAGUUUGCAUAUCCAGAGUUUAAAAGACAGAAACAAACAAAUGAACAAACAACAACAGUAAAAAAGAGAAAGGAAAGCAAGAUGCGAGCGAUCCUUGGGAGCCAGGAGCUGGUGGCUCAGACCCAGCUUUUCUGGAAUCACAAUGGAAAGGAGUCACAGGUAACAAGGCUUAUAAAAAAAGAAAGAGAGAGAGAGAGAGAGAGAGAGAGAGAGAGAGAGAGAGAGAGAGAGAGAGAGAAGAGACGAGACGAGACGAGACGAGACGAGACGAGACGAGACGAGACGAGACGAGACGAGACGAGACGAGACGAGAAGAGAAGAGAAGAGAAGAGAAGAGAAGAGAAGAGAAGAGAAAAAAAGAAGAAAAGUGAGAAGCAUGAAAAUUGGCAAGCAGCAGUGUGGUCUGGAGACAGCUUCUGAAACCUAAGGUUGGGGUGGGGGUUACUGUGAAAGCAGGUGGGGUUUGUGGUCAAGGGAAAAGAACACAGAUGGCAACAUCCCUGAUGCUUUUCAGGACUUUCCUCGACUUCUUCCUGCUGAGUCAGUCGCCCCUUUUGAUGUUGGUACCAGUUGGAUCUGAGCUGUCCCUAAAGUCAUGUGCUGUGGUGGUUUGAAUAGUUUUGCCCCACCCCCAUAGAUUCAUGUUUCAAACCUUGGCCAUAGGAAGUGGCACUAUUAGGAUGCGUGGCCUUAUUGAAGGAAGUACGUCACUGUGUAGGCGGGCUUUGAGGUCUAUAAGCUCCACCCAGUGUGGAAUAGAAUCUCCUCCUGGCUGCCUUUGGAUCAAAAUGUAGAGCUCCCUGCUCCGCCAGCACCAUGUCUCCUGAACACUGCCAUGCUUCCUGCCAUGAUGAUGAUGGACUGAACCUCUGAAACUGCAAACAGCUCCCCAUUAAAUGUUUGCCUUUAUAAGAGUUGCUUUGGUCACAGUGUCUCUUCACAGCAAUAAAACCCAUAAAACC